rnacentral:lncRNA from 1 species
GAGUCUAUUUUUAAAAAGUACACUUUAUAUAUUUUUGUAUUAUUUUUUUUUAUUUGUAGGAAGUUCCUUCUUUAAUUUUUUUUUUAAUUUUGUAUUCUACUUUUAUAUUAUCUUUUCUUUACAUUUUAUAUUGUCUAACCUUUUAUAUUCUUAAUCAUUUUUUUUCAUUGUGUAAUCUUUAUGUUUAUUUUUUUUAACUU